rnacentral:rRNA from 1 species
UAGGGAAUCUUCCACAAUGGGCGGGAGCCUGAUGGAGCAACGCCGCGUGUGUGAUGAAGGGUUUCGGCUCGUAAACACUGUUGUAAGAGAAGAAUGACAUUGAGAGUAACUGUUCAAUGUGUGACGGUAUCUUACCAGAAAGGAACGGCUAAAUACGUGCCAC